UACGUAGGUGGCAAGCGUUGUCCGGAUUUAUUGGGUUUAAAGGGUGCGUAGGCGGCUUUGUAAGUCAGUGGUGAAAUAUGGCAGCUCAACUGUCAGGGUGCCAUUGAUACUGCAGAGCUUGAGUACAGAUGAGGUAGGCGGAAUUGACGGUGUAGCGGUGAAAUGCUUAGAUAUCGUCAGAACACCGAUAGCGAAGGCAGCUUACUGGGCUGUAACUGACGCUGAGGCACGAAAGUGUGGGGAUCAAACAGG
rnacentral:rRNA from 1 species